AUUGAACGCUGGCGGCAGGCCUAACACAUGCCAGUCGAGCGGAUGAAGGGAGCUUGCUCCUGGAUUCAGCGGCGGACGGGUGAGUAAUGCCUAGGAAUCUGCCUGGUAGUGGGGGAUAACGUCCGGAAACGGGCGCUAAUACCGCAUACGUCCUGAGGGAGAAAGUGGGGGAUCUUCGGACCUCACGCUAUCAGAUGAGACUAGGUCGGAUUAGCUAGUUGGUGGGGUAAAGGCCUACCAAGGCGACGAUCCGUAACUGGUCUGAGAGGAUGAUCAGUCACACUGGAACUGAAACACGGUCCAGACUCCUACGGGAGGCAGCAGUGGGGAAUAUUGGACAAUGGGCGAAAGCCUGAUCCAGCCAUGCCGCGUGUGUGAAGAAGGUCUUCGGAUUGUAAAGCACUUUAAGUUGGGAGGAAGGGCAGUAAGUUAAUACCUUGCUGUUUUGACGUUACCAACAGAAUAAGCACCGGCUAACUUCGUG
rnacentral:rRNA from 1 species